CUCAGAUCUGAGACACAGAACACCUGAGAAGAGAGAGAAAAACACAGAGGGUAACAGACAUGCUACACCAACACACCUCUACCCUACAGUGAAUGUCACAACCAGCCCUUGGAGAGGAUAUUUGAGACAGGAAAAAAAUCCCGAACUCUCAAUACAAAAGGCUUAUCUCAGCCAAGCAAUGAGGACAGAACAUUUAUGAAAGGAUCAGAAGAACCCUCCACCUCAGUGCACGUUAGGGAACAGCAAGAAAUGGAGAAGGUCCUCACAGGGUUUCU